rnacentral:rRNA from 1 species
GAUGAACGCUGGCGGUGUGCCUAAUACAUGCAAGUCGAGCGAACAGACGAGGAGCUUACUCCUCUGACGUUAGCGGCGGAAGGGUGAGUAACACGUGGAUACCCUCCCUAUAAGACUGGGAUAACUUCGGGAAACCGGCGCUAAUACCGGAUAACAUGUUGAACCGCAUGGUUCAACAGUGAAAGACGGUCUUGCUGUCACUUAUAGAUGGAUCCGCGUCGCAUUAGCUAGUUGGUAAGGUAACGGCUUACCAAGGCAACGAUGCGUAGCCGACCUGAGAGGGGGAUCGGCCACACGGGAACUGAGACACGGUCCAGACUCCUACGGGAGGCAGCAGUAGGGAAUCGUCCGCAAUGGGCGAAAGCCUGACGGAGCAACGCCGCGUGAGUGAAGAAGGUCUUCGGAUCGUAAAACCCUGUUAUUAGGGAAGAACAAAUGUGUAAGUAACUAUGCACGUCUUGACGGUACCUAAUCAGAAAGCCACGGCUAACUACGUG